UACGUAGGGUGCGAGCGUUAAUCGGAUUUACUGGGCGUAAAGCGUGCGCAGGCGGUUCGUUGUGUCGGUGGUGAAAUCCCCGGGCUUAACCUGGGAAUGGCCAUGGAAACUGGCGAACUGGAGUGUGGCAGAGGGGGGUGGAAUUCCACGUGUAGCAGUGAAAUGCGUAGAUAUGUGGAGGAACACCGAUGGCGAAGGCAGCCCCCUGGGUUAACACUGACGCUCAUGCACGAAAGCGUGGGGAGCAAACAGG
rnacentral:rRNA from 1 species